rnacentral:rRNA from 1 species
UACAGAGGGGGCAAGCGUUGUUCGGAAUUACUGGGCGUAAAGGGCGCGUAGGUGGCCUUCUAAGUUGAACGUGAAAUCCCUGGGCUCAACCCAGGAACUGCGUCCAAGACUGGGAGGCUUGAAUCCGGGAGAGGGAUGCGGAAUUCCAGGUGUAGCGGUGAAAUGCGUAGAUAUCUGGAGGAACACCGGUGGCGAAAGCGGCUCACUGGAUCUUUUCUGACGCUGAGGCACGAAAGCUAGGGUAGCGAACGGG